rnacentral:miRNA from 1 species
UGUGCAUGUAAAUGUGUGAGCAUGUGUGCACUUGCAUGUAUGCAUGUGCAUGUAUGUGUGCAUGUUUAUGUAUGU